rnacentral:rRNA from 1 species
CCUACGGGUGGCUGCAGUGGGGAAUAUUGGACAAUGGGCGAAAGCCUGAUCCAGCCAUGCCGCGUGUGUGAAGAAGGCCUUCGGGUUGUAAAGCACUUUCAGUGGGGAAGAAAGCCUUGGGGCUAAUACCCUCGAGGAAGGACAUCACCCACAGAAGAAGCACCGGCUAACUCCGUGCCAGCAGCCGCGGUAAUACGGAGGGUGCGAGCGUUAAUCGGAAUUACUGGGCGUAAAGCGCGCGUAGGCGGUCUGAUAAGCCGGUUGUGAAAGCCCCGGGCUCAACCUGGGAACGGCAUCCGGAACUGUCAGGCUAGAGUGCAGGAGAGGAAGGUAGAAUUCCCGGUGUAGCGGUGAAAUGCGUAGAGAUCUGGAGGAAUACCAGUGGCGAAGGCGGCCUUCUGGACUGACACUGACGCUGAGGUGCGAAAGCGUGGGUAGCAAACAGGAUUAGAUACCCGAGUAGUC